rnacentral:tRNA from 1 species
GCCCAAGUGGUGGAAUUUGGUAGACACAAGGGACUUAAAAUCCCUUGAUCAUUUCGGUCGUGCCGGUUCAAGUCCGGCCUUGGGCA